rnacentral:rRNA from 1 species
GUAAGCGUGCGUAGGUGGUUUGUUAAGUCUGAUGUGAAAGACCUGGGCUCAACCUGGGAAUGGCAUUGGAAACUGGCUUACUAGAGUGCGGUAGAGGGUAGUGGAAUUCCCGGUGUAGCAGUGAAAUGCGUAGAUAUCGGGAGGAACAUCUGUGGCGAAGGCGACUACCUGGACCAGCACUGACACUGAGGCACGAAAGCGUGGGGAGCAAACAGGAUUAUAUACCCUGGUAGUCCACGCCCUAAACGAUGCGAACUGGAUGUUGGGAGCAACUUGGCUC